GGAAAUGGUGCUCUGCAUCACUGGAGGAAGCAAGUGUGAAACCUCAGUCCACCCCGUCACUCGAUCAGAAGAAUUCCCAUUGGACAGCUGGCUUGCAUGUGGACCCUCUGGAACGAAAAGGAAGAAAGAGCCCCUCACUCAUGUUUCCCGCUGUGCCCACCUGCAGUGCAUUGCUUUAGGACUUGACAGAUGAAAUCAGCAUCUUCCCAAACUUCUCUGCUGGAAGACUGUCUGGAAUGUCUCCCCUUGGCCCUCUGGGGGAUGCUGCCCACUCCACAGGGCUCCCUGCAGCUCUGUCUGAUUAUAAAGCUUCUCCCUAAUGGGCAAGAUCUCACACAUGAUAGAGCCAUAAAACGUGGCACUCCUGGCUGGCCCUGCUGCUUGUCUGAUAAGGGAGAUGAAGGGACUCGCCAGCACAGGCAGAGGGCCCUGGGUCUUACCCCGCCCCCGUGCCUCCUCCCCACCCCAGCUGGUCUCGGCUUCCAGCAUGUUGGAAGGCCUGUUCUACAGAACACAAAGCCCAUGUUUUGCAAUGAUGAGGAUUCCAUGUUCAAGAACGGUUGGGAAAUCUCUCCCCUCCUAGGGAUUCAAAACACCCAUGAGCACAGUCAUGGCUGUGAGGAGGCUUCCAGUAAAGAAAACCUGCUCGCAUUUCCCCAGGACACAUUGCUGAAGCUUGUCACGGUGGUGAGAGAGACCGGUGGUCUCCUAGGAGGCAUGGAGCAGCCUUCCCACACUCUCUGCACGUACACAUCCUCGGGGGAACUGGUCCAGGGGCAGAUUCUAACACCCCAGGCCUCGGCUGAGGCUCAACACUGUGUCUCUCACAAGUCCCCGGGGGACAGUGAUGUCGCAGGUUCACAGGCCACAGGGAUCCAGAGUGGCUGCUGAUGAGAAGACAGAGCACAAAAAGGUUAAACCAUGCCUAUGGUCACCCCUAUCUGGUGAAGCUGAGAUUUGAAGUGGCGUUUCGACCCUAGAGCUGAGCUGAUUAUCACCAUGACAUUCAACCUUCCAGAGUCCUGCAGACCCUCAAUAGGGUGCCCUGCCCUCCUGUCCAUGCCUCACGCCUGGGCCUCUCAGGCCUAGCAGAGUGGUGUAGGACAUUCACAGAUGGGCCAGGGCAUCCCUGUAUGUGGCCCUUCC
rnacentral:lncRNA from 1 species